AGUGAACGCUGGCGGUAGGCCUAACACAUGCAAGUCGAACGGCAGCACAGUAAGAGCUUGCUCUUACGGGUGGCGAGUGGCGGACGGGUGAGGAAUACAUCGGAAUCUACUUUUUCGUGGGGGAUAACGUAGGGAAACUUACGCUAAUACCGCAUACGACCUACGGGUGAAAGCAGGGGAUCUUCGGACCUUGCGCGAUUGAAUGAGCCGAUGUCGGAUUAGCUAGUUGGCGGGGUAAAGGCCCACCAAGGCGACGAUCCGUAGCUGGUCUGAGAGGAUGAUCAGCCACACUGGAACUGAGACACGGUCCAGACUCCUACGGGAGGCAGCAGUGGGGAAUAUUGGACAAUGGGCGCAAGCCUGAUCCAGCCAUACCGCGUGGGUGAAGAAGGCCUUCGGGUUGUAUAGCCCUUUUGUUGGGAAAGAAAAGCAGCAGGUUAAUACCCCGCUGUUCUGACGGUACCCAAAGAAUAAGCACCGGCUAACUUCGUG
rnacentral:rRNA from 1 species